GACGAACGCUGGCGGCGUGCUUAACACAUGCAAGUCGAGCGGUAAGGCCCUUUCGGGGGUUACGACGAGCGGCGAACGGGUGAGUAACACGUGGGUGACCUGCCUCUAGCUCUGGGAUAAGCCUGGGAAGCUGGGUCUAAUACCGGAUAUGACCUCGCGGUGCAUGUUGCGGGGUGGAAAGCCUUGUGCGGCUAGGGAUGGGCCCGCGGCCUAUCAGCUUGUUGGUGGGGUGAUGGCCACCAAGGCGACGACGGGUAGCCGGCCUGAGAGGGCGACCGGCCACACUGGGACUGAGACACGGCCCAGACUCCUACGGGAGGCAGCAGUGGGGAAUCUUGCGCAAUGGGCGAAAGCCUGACGCAGCGACGCCGCGUGAGGGAUGACGGCCU
rnacentral:rRNA from 1 species